GCCUAGCUGGCUCAGUCAGAAUAGCAUGUGACUCUCGAUCGCAGGGUUGUAAGUUCGAGCCCCUAUGUUGGGUA
rnacentral:tRNA from 1 species